rnacentral:lncRNA from 1 species
GGUAAAAUUAUCACCAAAUCCCCAAAAAACGAUUCUAAUCAUAUUCCAAGCCAAAACCCUUCCCCAAAAUCAUAUCUCCCUUCAUUCAUUUACAAGAAAAUCUCAAUCCAUAAUCAUCAUUUUGAUCUUCCACACAUUAUCCGCAAAAUGUAAUCACCAGAAUAUCACCCAAAUCAACCAUUUGAUUUGUACUUUCAGUUGUUACUAUAAAACCCCAAUCUACGUAGAAAAUAUCAAAAUCUCCUUGUUAAAAUGUAUACCAUGGCUGCUGAUACAAACACAUCUUCAUUGGGAUAUGUAUGGCUUGUGAGAAAUGUCAAAGAGACUCCAGUCGCAGCCGACCAGCAAUGACGUUUGUCCAUGGUUAACAUCAAGACCCAGCAAGCAGGCGAAUACUCCAAGUCCUGUGAGAUUAUCGAACCCAAGAACGAAACGAUUAAUACCCCUACUCGUCGCAUUACCCAUUCUAUUUACAUAUCCUCACAGUCGAAAGAUUUCGCCAGUGGUCCAUCUGCUACAAGGGUCGUGAACACCAACUCCUAAAAUUUGGGAAAGAUUAUCCAAAUGAAGGACAGUGAUAAGAGGCUCAUUGAAGAUGCACUUGCAAAUCCAAGCAACACAAAGAAAAAGUUUGGAGCCCCACACAAACACAGGUAUUUUUUUGGUGUCUUAACAAAUAUUUUGGACCCUUAUACCAGUUACGAUAGCAAAUAUUUAUGAUUAUCAAUUUAUACAUGAUUUCAUUCAAGUGAAUAGAUAGAGGGGUGUGAUUGUCGAAACCUGACUUCUUGAUUUCUUGUGUAAUUGAAUACCCCAUUAUAUUUAUGAUUGAUGCCUAGGAUAUGGUCAUUUAUUGCACAAAUAUUAUUGCUUAUGAUUUUCACUUAGAAUAAUGAAAUUCCUAAGUUGUAUACGAACACACAACGAAGUAGAGUGUUAAGCUGUUAUAAUGAGUCUCAUAUAUUAUGUUGUAGUAAUUAGUUUAAGAAGUAAUUAUUUUCAGUCAUGUGCAAUAAAAGUCCAAUAAAUAAAUAAUUUUCAUGAAAUUUUGAUCACUGUAUUACGUUUUUCUCAUGGGAUUUUAUUAUUGAAUUGUAUGGAUUUAUUGUUUUGCUUUGGAUCAAUGCUUUAUGAUGCACAUGUUUUCAUAUAUGAACGAGGGGUGAAUAGAGUAUUUCAGUCAAAUGCAUAAUAUUUUCAAUACGGAUGAAGUACAUUCGGAUACAACACCAAACAACACAUAUACAUGCCUCAAUUUGUGAUAUGUCAAUGAUGGAAAUAUAAUCAUUCAAAUUUGGAAUUUGUUUUGAAAUAUCAGAACAUAGAAUGUGUGAAUCAUUGCACCAAUUUAUAUGCACAUCAAUCUCCUUUGUAGGGUUCAAUCUAUACUCCGUUGGUAUAUUUGGCAAGAUCUCUACCACUCUUACAUGUAAUGCAUAGACCGUCAUGCAUGCAUCUCUACGCUUAAGCUCCAAAUAGAAAUGUAGAGAGCCGUAAUUUUUUAUUCGGCAACUCCUAAAAUUUGGGAAAGAUUAUCCAAAUGAAGGACAGUGAUAAGAGGCUCAUUGAAGAUGCACUUGCAAAUCCAAGCAACACAAAGAAAAAGUUUGGAGCCCCACACAAACACAGGUAUUUUUUUGGUGUCUUAACAAAUAUUUUGGACCCUUAUACCAGUUACGAUAGCAAAUAUUUAUGAUUAUCAAUUUAUACAUGAUUUCAUUCAAGUGAAUAGAUAGAGGGGUGUGAUUGUCGAAACCUGACUUCUUGAUUUCUUGUGUAAUUGAAUACCCCAUUAUAUUUAUGAUUGAUGCCUAGGAUAUGGUC